rnacentral:rRNA from 1 species
AUGAAGGUUGUCGCUUUCAACUGCCGGGGGUUUGGGAACCAGCCGGCAGUCGAGGGCCUUCUGGAGCUACAGAAGGCUGAAGACCCUGACAUCCUCUUUCUUUCAGAAACAAAGCUGGACAGGGAGAGGAUGAAGCGAAUUAAGGUGUUGUUGGGAAUGCCCAACAUGGAGGUAAAGGACUGUGAGGGGCAAAGCGGUGGCUUGGCCCUUCUCUGGAAGAAGGAUGUAAAUGUAAGAGUGAACCAU